UUUAUAUAUCAGCAAAGCCGGAGCAAUCCGGUGACGCAAAGCUAUAGGGUCUUUAUGAGACAGCCAGUUGCAUUU
rnacentral:ncRNA from 1 species